UACGGGGGGGGCAAGCGUUGUUCGGAAUUACUGGGCGUAAAGGGCUCGUAGGCGGCCAACUAAGUCAGACGUGAAAUCCCUCGGCUUAACCGGGGAACUGCGUCUGAUACUGGAUGGCUUGAGGUUGGGAGAGGGAUGCGGAAUUCCAGGUGUAGCGGUGAAAUGCGUAGAUAUCGAGAGGAACACCUGCGGCGAAGGCGGGUUGCUGGGCUGACACUGACGCUGAAGCGCGAAAGCUAGGGGAGCGAACGGG
rnacentral:rRNA from 1 species